rnacentral:rRNA from 1 species
GACGAACGCUGGCGGCGUGCUUAACACAUGCAAGUCGAACGGAAAGGCCCUGCUUUUGUGGGGUGCUCGAGUGGCGAACGGGUGAGUAACACGUGAGUAACCUGCCCUUGACUUUGGGAUAACUUCAGGAAACUGGGGCUAAUACCGGAUAGGAGCUCCUGCUGCAUGGUGGGGGUUGGAAAGUUUCGGCGGUUGGGGAUGGACUCGCGGCUUAUCAGCUUGUUGGUGGGGUAGUGGCUUACCAAGGCUUUGACGGGUAGCCGGCCUGAGAGGGUGACCGGCCACUUUGGGACUGAGAUACGGCCCAGACUCCUACGGGAGGCAGCAGUGGGGAAUAUUGCACGAUGGGAGGAAGCCUGAUGCAGCAACGCCGCGUGCGGGAUGACGGCCUUCGGGUUGUAAACCGCUUUCGCCUGUGACGAAGCGUGAGUGACGGUAAUGGGUAAAGAAGCACCGGCUAACUACGUG